GGCCGAAAGGCAACCUAACUGUUAAUCAGGGGGUCGUUGGUUCGAGUCCAACUUCGGGCGCCA
rnacentral:tRNA from 1 species